GGAGGGUGCAAGCGUUAUCCGGAUUCACUGGGUUUAAAGGGUGCGUAGGUGGGUUGGUAAGUCAGUGGUGAAAUCUCCGGGCUUAACUCGGAAACUGCCGUUGAUACUAUCAAUCUUGAAUAUCGUGGAGGUAAGCGGAAUAUGUCAUGUAGCGGUGAAAUGCUUAGAUAUGACAUAGAACACCGAUAGCGAAGGCAGCUUGCUACACGAUCAUUGACACUGAGGCACGAAAGCGUGGGGAUCAAACAGGAUUAGAUACCCUGGUAGUCCACGCCCUAAACGAUGGAUACUCGACAUACGCGAUACACAGUGUGUGUCUGAGCGAAAGCAUUAAGUAUCCCACCUGGGAAGUACGACCGCAAGGUUGAA
rnacentral:rRNA from 1 species